rnacentral:rRNA from 1 species
CACGUAGGCGGCUUUCUAAGUCAGGGGUGAAAUCCUGGAGCUCAACUCCAGAACUGCCUUUGAUACUGGGAAGCUCGAGUCCGGAAGAGGUGAGUGGAACUGCGAGUGUAGAGGUGAAAUUCGUAGAUAUUCGCAAGAACACCAGUGGCGAAGGCGGCUCACUGGUCCGGUACUGACGCUGAGGUGCGAAAGCGUGGGGAGCAAACA